UUGGGGGGGGGGGGUGUCCCCACAUUGACUGUGAACCGGGGGGGACGGGGACCCCCGGCGACAUCACCUGGACUUGGCUGCACCGCACUUUCUUGGAGCGUCCCCCCCGAUUUGGGGCUGAUUGUCCCGGCCCCAGCGGGGGGGCUGGGGGUGUCCCCGUCCCCCCCCCCCGUGAUCACUCAGGACUUGGGGAGCGGCCCCCCUCCCCGGCCCCGUACCCUGGCCGUGUUUUGUCACCCCCUGCCCCGUGCCCCUUGUCCCCGUCUCCUUUUUUUGUUUUGGUCCCCCUACGUGGUGUCCGCCUCACCCCGUCUGUGUCCCCCAAAUCCCCACAAACCCCAAAUCCCCCCCACCUCCGUCCUCCCUCCUCCACAUCCCCUGUCCCCGCUGUGUCCCCUCCCCCCCCCUUUGUCUUCUUUUUGUCCCCCCUCCCCAAACCCUCCUCCCCCCUCUUGUGUGUCCCCCCCCAGUGCCCCUCCUCCCCCUUUCUGUGCCCCCCCCGGGCUCCUUCCCCCUACAAGCAAUAAUUGGAGCCGCUGGGCACCCUGGUGGCGGAGGACGACGGUGGAGGUAGGGCCACCGCCGGGGUGUCCCCUCUGUCCCCCCCCAAAUGGUGGCACUGGCCCCCCCCGGGGGGACUGGGGGGGCUGGGGGGCCUGGCUCCACUGCGAAGUCAGGCUUCGUUUCUAUGGCAACAGGACCAGGCCUCGUCCAACUGCAAGGCCAGGCUGCGUUUCCAUGGUGACAGGGCUAGGCCUGGCCCCAUUUUUUUGUGUUUCCAUGGAAAUGGGAGUAGGGCAGUGGCUGAGACUUUGUUUCCAUGGCAAUCAGAGCAGGCCUGAGCCUGGGUUGCUAGGCCAGGCUGCGUUUCCAUGGCAACAGGACCAGGCUGGAGCCCCUACUGCGAAGCCAGGCUUCGUUUCCAUGGCAACAGGACCAGGCCAGAAACAUCUCCCCUCCCCCACACCUGGCCUUGGCCUCCCCCGGGGAUGGGGGGGGUCAGGACCGCCCCCUCCUCGCUGCUGCCCCCCCUCAGGGGCCUCCUGGGGGGCAGUUUGGGGGGGGGGGGGUGCCAUUUCCUGAGCCAGCAUGUCUGCAUGUCUGUACCGCUGAUAUUUAUGGUUAUAUGCAAAAAAAAUCAAAAAACAAACCCACCCCCUCAAAAAAAACCCUAAUUAACAGAAUUCUGCCUUCCCUCCCCUUGCCCUGCCCCCCCCCCAA
rnacentral:lncRNA from 1 species